rnacentral:rRNA from 1 species
GAUGAACGCUAGCGGGAGGCCUAAUACAUGCAAGUCGAACGGUAAAUGGUAGCAAUACUAUGAGAGUGGCGUACGGGUGCGUAACGCGUACACAACCUGCCUUAUACUGGAGCAUAGCCUCGGGAAACUGAGAUUAACUCUCCAUAACACUGCAAUGUGGCAUCACAUAGCAGUUAAAACUCCGGUGGUAUAAGAUGGGUGUGCGUCCGAUUAGGUAGUUGGUGAGGUAACGGCUCACCAAGCCGACGAUCGGUAGCUGGUCUGAGAGGACGAUCAGCCACACGGGCACUGAGACACGGGCCCGACUCCUACGGGAGGCAGCAGUAGGGAAUAUUGGACAAUGGACGCAAGUCUGAUCCAGCCAUCCCGCGUGAAGGAUUAAGGC